UCCCAGCCCAAAAAAUACCCCAAAUCCCACCCCCCACACACACACCCCCAGCUUGCAGCCCUAGCGAACAUCACAUUUACCACUUUGGCCACCUAAGAAAUAACAGGAAUGAGCACUUUGGAAUGAGGUUUCUCUUCCAGAGAAAAGUUAUCUACAUUUACAGGACAGACCAGGCUUUGGGAAGCCCCUCACCCCAGGAUCCAAGGUUGAGCAUUGCCACCAGUGAGGACACCACAGGAAUACCCCUGGACCCACGGGCUUGGACAGAAGCCAUCAGCUAUGGCUCGUGCCCUGCACACUGUGGAUGCUGAUGGAUCCUCCUGGUCCCUCCUUCCCAGCCUGGAAAAGGCAGGGAGCUCGCUGGCCGUGUCCAGGCAGGAGAUGGAGCUGACAGCCAGGCAGCAGCACAGGAGGGGAAACAUUCCUGUGCUCCACCAGGACCCCCCGACUGAGGAGUUCCCACCAGGAAUGAGCCCUUUUCCAAGAGACCCGUGCUCCUUAUGGAAUGGAGCAGCACGGAUCUGCACUGGCUGCUUGCUUCUCCUGCAACUCCAGAGAUCCAGAGGCUUGGGAACACCAUUCAGGAAGCUCCCAGGAUUGGCCACUUUGCCUUUCCCUACCACUGAGAGGGUGCAGAAAUCGGGAUUUUCCCUGUCCAGCCCUAGCACUGCUCCUGCACAGCAGUUCCCAAUCUUCCUGGCAGGCAAAACAAACACAUUUGGUAUUUAUUCUGAGUUCCAACCACUGCUUCACCCCACAGCUGGCUUUGGGCAGUAUCAACUACGUUCUCAAUCUUGGUUUAAAAACAAACAAGAAGUUAUUGGCUGAGGUUUAUACCCUGUUUUUACCUGGCUGAGGGGCUACAAUUCCCACUCUAACUGUGGAGAGCUCAGUGGGGCUGGGGUUUCCUCAGCCCCACCGCGUGAUCCAACUUUGAUGCUGCUUCUCCUGGGUAAAAAUGCAGAAAGAUGGGCAAAGCCAAGGUGUUGCCACUUUCUCACAGAGAAAGCACGUGGCUGUUCCUCCCCAGUUCUAGGGCAGCAGCACUUUGGGGUUCAGUUUACUACGCCCUAAAAAGGAUUACAGCAUUUCCCAGUGCUCAGCCUUCCCCAAGAACAGUGCUCUGGACCUCUCCCAAAGUCCUGUCUCCAGCCGACACCUAGGUCAGUUUAUCCUGAUGCUUCACCUACCCCACUCUACACAUCAUGGAAGCAGCAUAAAUGGAGUUAUCUCUGUCAGCAAAGGAAAUUCUGCAAACACUAAAAAAAAAACCUUGAAAAACGACACAAACCAGGGCUGACCCCCCUCCUAACCCAACCACUGGAAACAAAGGCAUUGUGAUACAACAUUCCACCUCAAAAGAAGCUCUACAGACAUCUAAGUGUGCAAAUGUGGGUUUAGCUUUCCUUUUCCCAAGGGAUAACUGUAGCCCAACAAGGACCAAACAUUCCAUAUAAAUAAGGCGAGCUUUUUUUUGUUGUUUUUGCAUAGAAGUUACUCAGUGAUAGUCCCCCCCAGUGACCCCUCCUGUGCCCCCCGGCUUUGCCACCGAGCUGAGUCCUGCUCCUCCAGCUCCUGGAGUCCAGAAGAAACCUUGGACACAUCCCAAAGGCUCCCUCACCCCAAAAGGUGGGAUGAAGAAAACCCAAUGAAUUUUGUAGAACUGCUUCACCCUGCGAGCUGUCUCCAAACCCGCUGUUAUUUUUAAACAUUUGCAGUUCAAUUUGGAGGCAAUUCUUUUUCUUUUUUUCUUGUGCCAGACAUUGGUAAUUGCACCACAAUUGUCUUGGUUUUGCUGCUCUUUUUGCCAAUGUUGCUUUUGCCAAUCAGUGCAGCAGCUCAAUAAAACCAGCAGCUUAUUGAAGUACCCAGAGCCUCUGCAGCACCAUCCUCUGCUGCCACCAGCUUUGGUUGUUUGUUUUUUUUUUUUAAUAAUAUAUUUUAUAAAAACACCUGCUAUUAAUAUUCCACUGGAGCUCAAAGUGGCUCAGCUUGGGGCAA
ensembl:lncRNA